AAUCAACGCUGGCGGCGUGCCUAACACAUGCAAGUCGAGCGCGAAAGCGGGGCAACUCGCAAGUAGAGCGGCGAACGGGUGAGUAACACGUGGGUGAUCUGCCUCCGAGUGGGGAACAACAGCGGGAAACUGCUGCUAAUACCGCAUGACAUCUUCGGGUCACAGCGAAGAUCAAAGCCGGGGACCGCAAGGCCUGGCGCUUGGAGAGGAG
rnacentral:rRNA from 1 species